rnacentral:tRNA from 1 species
CAAGGAAUAUGUUAAUAAAAAUUAUAAUUUUGGAGAUUAUAGAAAAGGAACUUUCUUUUUCUUUGA